rnacentral:rRNA from 1 species
GACGUAGGGCGCGAGCGUUGUCCGGAUUUAUUGGGCGUAAAGAGCUCGUAGGCGGCUUGUUGCGUCAGCUGUGAAAACCCGCAGCUCAACUGUGGGCUUGCAGCUGAUACGGGCGAGCUUGAGUUCGGUAGGGGAGACUGGAAUUCCUGGUGUAGCGGUGAAAUGCGCAGAUAUCAGGAGGAACACCGGUGGCGAAGGCGGGUCUCUGGGCCGAUACUGACGCUGAGGAGCGAAAGCGUGGGGGAGCGAACAGG